rnacentral:rRNA from 1 species
GGUUAACCCGUGUGGGGUAGCCGUAGCGAAAGCGAGUCCGAAUAGGGCGCAUCUAGUGGCAUGUUCUAGACCCGAAGCGGAGUGAUCUACCCAUGGCCAGGGUGAAGCGACGGUAAGACGUCGUGGAGGCCCGAACCCACUUAGGUUGAAAACUGAGGGGAUGAGUUGUGGGUAGGGGUGAAAGGCCAAUCAAACUCCGUGAUAGCUGGUUCUCCCCGAAAUGCAUUUAGGUGCAGCGUCGCGUGUUUCUCACCGGAGGUAGAGCUACUGGAUGGUCUAGGGGGCCCACAAGCUUACCGAAAUCAGCCAAACUCCGAAUGCCGGUGAGUGAGAGCGCGGCAGUGAGACUGCGGGGGAUAAGCUUCGUAGUCGAGAGGGAAACAGCCCAGAUCGCCGGCUAAGGCCCCUAAGCGUGUACUAAGUGGAAAAGGAUGUGGGAUCGCUGAGACAACCAGGAGGUUGGCUUAGAAGCAGCCACCCUUGAAAGAGUGCGUAAUAGCUCACUGGUCAAGUGGUCCUGCGCCGACAAUGUAGCGGGGCUCAAGUACACCGCCGAAGCCGCGGCAUUCACACAAGCCCGCUGAUUCUCCACGGAGGGUCGGCCAGGUGUGUGGAUGGGUAGGGGAGCGUCGUGUGGCCGUGGAAGCGCCGGAGUGAUCCAGGUGUGGAGGCCACGCGAGUGAGAAUGCAGGCAUGAGUAGCGAAAGACGAGUGAGAAACUCGUCCGCCGGAUGACCAAGGGUUCCUGGGCCAGGUUAAUCCGCCCAGGGUGAGUCGGGACCUAAGGCGAGGCCGACAGGCGUAGUCGAUGGACAACGGGUUGAUAUUCCCGUACCCGUGUAUCCGCGCCCAAUGGCGAAUCAGUUGUGCUAACCGUCCAAAAGGUCGGUCGUCUCCUUCGGGAGUCGGCGGGCUGGCUGCACGGGACCCUGAUUGUAGUAGUCAAGCGAUGGGGUGACGCAGGAAGGUAGCUGGGCCAGGUGAUGGAAUACCUGGUGUAAGCCGGUAGGGCGAAUGGUAGGCAAAUCCGCCAUUCAUCAAGCCUGAGAGGUGAUGCGUACCCGUUGAGGGGAAUUCAGUGAUCCUAUGCUGCCGAGAAAAGCCUCUAGUGAGUUGGUACACGGCCCGUACCCCAAACCGACACAGGUGGUCAGGUAGAGAAUACCGAGGCGAUCGAGAGAACUGUGGUUAAGGAACUCGGCAAAAUGCCCCCGUAACUUCGGGAGAAGGGGGACCACGCCCGGUGACCGGACUUUGCUCCGUGAGCUGGGGGUGGUCGCAGAGACCAGAGAGAAGCGACUGUUUACUAAAAACACAGGUCCGUGCGAAGUCGUAAGACGAUGUAUACGGACUGACGCCUGCCCGGUGCUGGAAGGUUAAGAGGACCGGUUAGUCACUUCGGUGGCGAAGCUGAGAAUUUAAGCCCCAGUAAACGGCGGUGGUAACUAUAACCAUCCUAAGGUAGCGAAAUUCCUUGUCGGGUAAGUUCCGACCUGCACGAAUGGCGUAACGACUUCUCUGCUGUCUCGACCACAGACUCGGCGAAAUUGCAUUACGAGUAAAGAUGCUCGUUACGCGCGGCAGGACGAAAAGACCCCGGGACCUUCACUAUAGCUUGGUAUUGGUGUUCGGUUCGGUUUGUGUAGGAUAGGUGGGAGACUGUGAAGCGGCCACGCCAGUGGUUGUGGAGUCGUUGUUGAAAUACCACUCUGAUCGUAUUGGACCUCUAACCUCGGACCAUGAUCUGGUUCAGGGACAGUGCCUGGUGGGUAGUUUAACUGGGGCGGUUGCCUCCCAAAAUGUAACGGAGGCGCCCAAAGGUUCCCUCAGCCUGGUUGGCAAUCAGGUGUCGAGUGCAAGUGCACAAGGGAGCUUGACUGUGAGACUGACAGGUCGAGCAGGGACGAAAGUCGGGACUAGUGAUCCGGCACCGGCAUGUGGAAGCGGUGUCGCUCAACGGAUAAAAGGUACCCCGGGGAUAACAGGCUGAUCUUCCCCAAGAGUCCAUAUCGACGGGAUGGUUUGGCACCUCGAUGUCGGCUCGUCGCAUCCUGGGGCUGGAGUAGGUCCCAAGGGUUGGGCUGUUCGCCCAUUAAAGCGGCACGCGAGCUGGGUUUAGAACGUCGUGAGACAGUUCGGUCUCUAUCCGCCGCGCGCGUUAGAAACUUGAGGAAGGCUGUCCCUAGUACGAGAGGACCGGGACGGACGAACCUCUGGUGUGCCAGUUGUCCCGCCAGGGGCAUGGCUGGUUGGCUACGUUCGGAAGGGAUAACCGCUGAAAGCAUCUAAGCGGGAAGCCUGUUCCAAGAUGAGGUUUCUCACCCCCUCGAGGGGGUAAGGCCCCCGGCAGACCACCGGGUUGAUAGGCCGGAACUGGAAGCACAGCAAUGUGUGGAGGUGACCGGUACUAAUAGGCCGAGGACUUACCACG